rnacentral:rRNA from 1 species
GACGUAGGGCGCGAGCGUUGUCCGGAUUUAUUGGGCGUAAAGAGCUCGUAGGCGGCUUGUCGCGUCGACUGUGAAAUCCCGAGGCUCAACCUCGGGCCUGCAGUGGGUACGGGCAGACUGGAGUGCGGUAGGGGAGAAUGGAAUUCCUGGUGUAGCGGUGGAAUGCGCAGAUAUCAGGAGGAACACCGAUGGCGAAGGCAGUUCUCUGGGCCGUAACUGACGCUGAGGAGCGAAAGCGUGGGGAGCGAACAGG